rnacentral:rRNA from 1 species
AUGCAGUCGAACGGCAGCACGGAGCUUGCUCUGGUGGCGAGUGGCGAACGGGUGAGUAAUAUAUCGGAACGUACCCUAGAGUGGGGGAUAACGUAGCGAAAGUUACGCUAAUACCGCAUACGAUCUAAGGAUGAAAGUGGGGGAUCGCAAGACCUCAUGCUCGUGGAGCGGCCGAUAUCUGAUUAGCUAGUUGGUAGGGUAAAAGCCUACCAAGGCAUCGAUCAGUAGCUGGUCUGAGAGGACGACCAGCCACACUGGAACUGAGACACGGUCCAGACUCCUACGGGAGGCAGCAGUGGGGAAUUUUGGACAAUGGGCGAAAGCCUGAUCCAGCAAUGCCGCGUGAGUGAAGAAGGCCUUCGGGUUGUAAUGCUCUUUUGUCAGGGAAGAAACGGUGAGAGCUAAUAUCUCUUGCUAAUGACGGUACCUGAAGAAUAAGCACCGGCUAACUACGUGCCAGCAGCCGCGGUAAUACGUAGGGUGCAAGCGUUAAUCGGAAUUACUGGGCGUAAAGCGUGCGCAGGCGGUUUUGUAAGUCUGAUGUGAAAUCCCCGGGCUCAACCUGAGAAUUGCAUUGGAGACUGCAAGGCUAGAAUCUGGCAG